CGUCGAUCGAUCAAAAAAAAACAGCCAAUGAUCUCUUAACUAACAUAAUUACAAAUGUUGCAGUACUUACAGAGCCCAUCAAUGUGUUUUAUAAUGAGAGUAUCCACCACCACCGCUGCUUUACUUAGCAACACAGUCUGGGCAAUGUCGCGCAAAGACGAGCUAGACAUGCUGCUUGUGAUUACUUUCAAUAUUAAUGUCGAAACUUAAAAAAGAAAAAGUUAUUUGAAGAUGCAAUGGCUGUCAGAGUAUGUGAAUAAUGGAAGAAAAAGUGGUUAAACUGGAGGAGAUUUUCUCUUUUCGAGUGGGAAAGGUCUGGUCUGAAGCCAGCCAAAGUAGAAAGUGCAGGAUGAGAUGGUGUGUAAUCAACCUGCCUGAUCCAGGAUGAAAGCAAAGACAAUCCAGUGCACAAAAAGCAAAUCCUGCAUUUUAAAUAUAGGAGGCAACAUAACAUUAACCUUAAAACUGUUUGGGAGCAUCAUUCAGCUUUCAACAUGUCUCACUAAAAGAUAUUCUGCAAUCAAUAAUUCAGUUUUAUGUCAAGAAAAACAGACAGGGAUAUCAUUGUGGGUUUAAAAAAAAUGAAAAAAAUGGAAGCAACCUUUCAAAUUUGUAGUUCAUAGUUUGCUUGGGUGCCCUGCGAUUAGCUGGAAAUCAGUUCAGGGCGUAAACUGCCUACUGCCCGUUGACAGCUUGGAUAGGCUCCAGCACUCCCCGCGACCCUUGUGAGGAAAAGCGGCUAAGAAGAUGGAUGGAUGGAUGAAUGGAUAGUUGGCUUGGUUUGGUUUGCAAUGCAUUUUUUUGUUUGGCUUCACUGUGACGACAGUGGGACACGAGGAGAGAAAAAAAAAUGUUGGCAGCGGACAGCAUGAAGCCAACUAAAUUCAUGCGCAAUUCAAACAGGUUCCACCCCAGUCAUGCUGAUAAAACGAUGGAUUAUUUUCAGCGAAACGUCUCGAAUAUUGCUCACAAUCAUCCCGCCUUGUGAAAGCUACUUCAGUAAACGAGGGAGGACUCUUAGCAUCAUACAAGGUAGCGUACCAAAUUGCUCAGUGCAAAAAACUCCACAUCAUUGCAGAUAUAUUCAUAUUUGUUUUAGUUAAAGUGUUUUAUAUUUUGUGCUCCUGAGUUAAUGUUGCUGAACAGAAUUUGAAGUUAUUAUUUUUUAUUGAUUUUAUUUUUCGCAAUAAAAUGGUGCAAUAAGUCGGUCAAAAAUGUUUAUUUCAGGCAAAUUGAUGUGCUGAAAAUAUUUUCUGUUCCAGACUGCCGAUGUUCAUAAAGUUGUUCUCUGUUGUAAAUUGAACCAUGUUUCCCAUUCAUUUUUUGUUUUCUUUAAUGUUAAUAAGGAUACAAUGUCAUGCAGAGCUUGACUGUUAAUAAUUUUAUCGACAAAUGAUAAUAUUUAUAGUCACGGUGGAGAGGUACAGGUACCCUUUUGUGGUGUGAAAUAGCCACUAAAGUGGACUGAAAUGCUCCCGUCUGAACCAGAAAUGCUUCUUGAAAGUCAACAAACACCCAAAUCUGUCAAGGUAUGUUUUAAUCUGUCAAAUGUUAUUUUGUUUUUCUCAUCUGUUAUUAUUUGGAUUUUGGGGUCAAUUUCCACCACUUUCCAAGAGAUCUGUCUGUUGGGAUAAGAGUUUUUGACAAAAACUAGAGGUAUUUCCAGAUGAGUGUAUUCCAGCGCUCUCCCUUGAUGUUUGGAGCCUCCAAGCAAGGACAUGAAUCGGAUGUUGAUGAAUUAUUCUGCUUCCACACUGAACACUUCAAACACCAGCACGUGACCAAAGAAAUAACGUCAACAGUGAAUGAAUCCAUUUCAAGACCAUCUGAAGAUCCAUCCAUCGGAAACUAUUGACUCCACUGACUUUUUCUUUGGAAUGGAAGCAGACUGCCUCGUUGGUGAAAUACGAUUGGACAGCUCCAUUUGCAAGGCAUCAGCCUCAAGUGAAGAAUCACUGUUGACUCAAUCACAACAAUUACUGAUUUUAUGAAAUAUGUGUUAUCUGGUUUCUAUCCUGGAAACACUAAUUUUUUUAUUCAUAUUUGUCAAAAUGAUGCAGUGUCAAUCACAACAAACUGUCACCUGACAAUGAAACAUAUUGUAUUUAUCUGCCUGGCCUAAUUAGCAUCAAUGAGGUGCUGGCCCUUGUUUGAAUUUGUCAUGUCGAGGUGGGUUGUUAUUCGACAAUAGAGGAAUUUGGCUCACCUUUGACCUUUGGCUCAAGGCUCUUGUUGAUCCCAACCCACCCUGUCGUCCUCAUCGUAAGGACACAAGCUCAAGUACAAAGAAGACGCAAAUCUUUACGGGACUCUUUAUUCCUUCGAUUUUUUUCUGUCAUACGUGACUUUGACUUUCCAUGGAGGUCGUCAGGGGCGUGGCCAGGAGCUCCUCACCUGCACCUCAUUGACACUGAUUAGGAAACGCAUUGAAGUCUUGUGUGUCUGAUUGUAAGUUGUGUUCGUUGUGCUUUGCGUUUUGUGAGUGAAUCUUCCUUGCUUCAACUUUU